CUCUUUAUUGUGAUAAUACAGGGCAGUUGCUCAAGCUAAGGAACCAAGAUGUCAUCACAAAUCUAUAUACAUCAUAAAACAAUUUCACUUCAUUCGAGAGAUAGUUGAAAGACGCGAUGUGAUUGCUGAGUGAGUUGACAUCAAGAACAAUAUAAAAGAUCCAUUUCACAAAGGCCUUAUCAUUGCAGUAGUUUGAUCGCCACCU
rnacentral:lncRNA from 1 species